AAGGAGUGAUUUGGAGAGAGAAUUAAAGCCAAGGAGUAUGAGUGAAAGGGUGGAAGAGAGAACCCACAAAAUACCAAAGACCAGCUACGCCCUACCAUGCUGGGACACCUUGCCUUCAAUUUAACAGCUCUCCAGGAGAAGGAAGACACCCCGCGUGAUUUUAUGAGCCUCGAUUCGUUUCCCAGCGCUCCCAGCGGCAGCUUGCAGGGCUUCUCACCAAGCCCGCACCAGGUUAUCCCGCGCUCCGCCUCAACGCCCUGCAGACCCCUGCCCGGAAGCACUGCCUUCCAUACAGUCAAGACGACCCUCGGUGGAACAGGGGCCACGGUUCCCAGUAGGGAGCUCGGUCUGUGGUGCAGAUUGAGCAUCCAGUCUCGCGGACCGCAAUAAUAACAAUACCUCACUCGGGCA